UAUGCUACUGAACAUCCCACAAAUCACUAGAUCGUCCCCACAACAAGAGCUAUCCCAUACAAAAUGUCAACAAUGCUGAGGCUGAGAAACCCUGUCUCAUACCCAUCUCAAGAGUGAAAACUGAAAUGGGAAAAGACAGCAGGAUGUGGAAAAGCCGUGGUCAGAAAGAAGUUGGGAGGCUUCCAGUACCAGACAAAAUGGAGUAAGGCACUGCAGUCUCUGCCACUGAUCACAACUAAAAAUUCUGGACAAAAUGUAACUAAGGACUCCGAAAAGUAAACAAGCAGCCAAAUUAUGGAAGGGAAUCAAAGCUUGAAGAAACUAUCUGUAUGGGUACCAGAAUCCUUUUAGCCAGGCAUAUGUCUGCCUGAAAUGGACUCAUCUUCCCAACCUCUCCUGCAACUAGGUGCAACCUACCAUGGACUAAGUUCUGCUGUGAGUUGUAGGAGGAGGUACAAUGGGGCACCUUCCUGGAACCUUCCUUACAACACUGUUGGCACAUUUCCUUUUUCUUCUUUGUCACCUCUUUAAUUCAUCCUGUGGCUUGGAAAGUUGGUGUAAAAAUAGCUGGAGUGCUGGCUACCAUGCUGACCAUGAAGACCUAGGGAGGGAGUCCAGGUACCUAAGCACUUUGUGAAACAGAGUCAUCUUACUAGCCCUGGGUUGCCUACUUUUGGGCAUUUAUGUGAGGGAGAAGUAAAUUCUCAUCCUGUGUAAGUCACUGUUAUUUAUUUAUUUGUUUAUUUAUUUAGAGACGGAGUCUCGCU
rnacentral:lncRNA from 1 species